GGCCUGGUGGUCUAGUAGUAUGAUUCCUUCUUAGGGUGUAGACUGCUUGUGAAGCAGUUACUCCGAAUUGGAGGAGGUCCCGGGUUCAAUUCCCGGCCAGGCCC